GCACUAUCGUGAGUGAUUCUCGCCUCCGCUGAGGCUUUGGCUUCAUGUUGAUGUUUUGAAAUUGAUUCAGUCCCGUAAGAAAGAGAUGGCUGUUUCCAUUCAUUGGCCACAUGGGCAUCUGCACCUCCUCUGGAGUGAUCCGGGAUUUUGCAGGUCCAUACUUUGUCUCAGAGGACAGCAUGGCGUUUGGAAGACUGACAAA